GAUGAACGCUGGCGGCGUGCCUAAUACAUGCAAGUCGAGCGAACAGACGAGGAGCUUGCUCCUCUGACGUUAGCGGCGGACGGGUGAGUAACACGUGGAUAACCUACCUAUAAGACUGGGAUAACUUCGGGAAACCGGAGCUAAUACCAGAUAAUAUAUUGAACCGCAUGGUUCAAUAGUGAAAGACGGUUUUGCUGUCACUUAUAGAUGGAUCCGCGCCGCAUUGGCUAGUUGGUAAGGUAACGGCUUACCAAGGCGACGAUGCGUAGCCGACCUGAGAGGGUGAUCGGCCACACUGGAACUGAGACACGGUCCAGACUCCUACGGGAGGCAGCAGUAGGGAAUCUUCCGCAAUGGGCGAAAGCCUGACGGAGCAACGCCGCGUGAGUGAUGAAGGUCUUCGGAUCGUAAAACUCUGUUAUUAGGGAAGAACAAAUGUGUAAGUAACUAUGCACGUCUUGACGGUACCUAAUCAGAAAGCCACGGCUAACUACGUG
rnacentral:rRNA from 1 species